UUGCCAUUCCCAUGCUGCUUUCAUUAUUGUCAUUGCCCAGACCAGAGAAAUCGAGCGAUAUGAUUCAGGCGUGAUCACCUGAGGCUUGUUCGCAUUACGUGAAUGAAGUGAUGCUGGAGAGAAAGAAAAAUCGUAAAUAUGUACAAAAUAAUGUAGUUGUUGCAUAUAUGUCAUGGUUUCGGUGACUAGCCGUACUGUUUUUUGCAGGACCGUACUGUUUUUCAAACCUCUGUCCUGCGUAAUUUUUCGAAACAGAAAACCCUGAAAAUGUACUGUUUUUUCCCAAGUGUCCUGCCUUUGUCCCGCAUUUUAUUCGAUACUUAAAAAUGUACGGUGGCAGCCCUUUACUAAUCAAAAUGUGGGCAGUUAUCGAUAAUUUUCGUAAAUUCUGCGCAACGAUUGACCAUCCAACAAGAAAUAGCAAACAAAAUUGAAAAUGCACUUUCAACAAUAAUUUGAAAGAGAAGUACACGUUUAUAAAAAAGGCUGCACAUGAGAAUGAAGUGAAAUGUUUGAAAUGCACUGCUGUUUUUUCCAUUGCUAAUGGUGGUAAAUGAGAUAUUGAACGCCAUUUGAUAUCGCAAAACAUCGUAAGGCUGAUUUUGAAGCUUCAACCAGUCAAUCCGAAGCUGAUUUGCGGGAAGUUAAUUUUAUUUCCAUUUUCUUCGAUUUUUCAAAUCAUGGCAGCAUUAAGAUUUGUCCGGUGCUUGUCAGAUACUUCUUGCCGCUAAAGGGGAUACAAAUAAAAAAAUAAAAAUAUUGGAUGUAAAGGAACUAUCAGGUGAAUCGUCAGAUAUUUUAACAGCUCUAAUUUCCAAUGUACUGUCUAAAUUUUAUCUGAACCAAAAAUUACUCGCUUUAUGCGCGGAUAACACCAACUGCAAUUUUGGUGGAGCAGUAAGAGGUGGAAAAAAGAAUAUUUUUCAUAAGCUUAAAGAAUCUACCGGUAAUAUGCUUAUUGGAAUAAAUUGUGCUGCGCACAUUAUUAAUAAUUGCCUCCAUAGAUUGUCUGCCGAUAGAUAUUGAAGUAGUUGUAGUUAAAAUUUUUUCGUACUUCUACAUAUAUACAGUUAGAGUUGAAAAUUUAAAGCAAAUAUGUGAAGCAGUUGAUGUUGAAUACAAAAAAUUACUUGGAUUUAGUAAAACCAGAUGGCUUACUUAUAAGCCGUCAAUAGAAAGAAUUUUAAAGCUUUAUAAACCACUGAAGGAAUACUUUUUACAACAACCCAAAUGCCCGACUAUUUUAUACAGUUUUUUUGGAGAUCCUGCAUCCGAAGCGUGGCUUUUUUUUGCACAUUUUUAAGCAUCUCUUUUCUACACUUAUAUUUUUCAAAUUGAGUCCCAGAAUAUCUCUAUGAUAGAAGUGGGCUCACUUAUUAAAAAACUCAAAUUUAAAAUAACCGAACUCCGUGAUAAAAUUUUUAUACCUUUAGUUGUGAGGAAUUUAAUUUCCGCAUUGGAUAAAACGGGAGUGAAAUAUGCAGAUGAAUUUAAUAGUAACUCAACAAAAUUUUAUAAUAAUUGCAUUGAUUAUUUAAAUCAGUGGGAUCAAGCCUUUAAAGACGUAGAAGUGAUGGAAAUUACCAUCUUGGAAUUCUGUGGAAAGAAAUUUAAUAUAUGUCAGGGAAAUCAGAAAUAAAACUGAUAUAAAUGAUGGUGAAUUAUUUGACGAGUUUUCUUUCGUUAAAAAUUAUUUAACUUCCGAUAAAUUAAACGAAUGGGAAAACAGUGAAAAAACUGCUGUAGAUAAAUGGGUUGAAAUAUUUACGCAUUUUAAAAAUAAUUCUAUAUCUUUUAAAAAUAUUUUAAAAGUUCUUGAAUUUGCGUUGUGUUUGCCAGGCUCAAAUGCCCCAACCGAAGGAAUCUAUUCAAUCUUAAACAAC
rnacentral:lncRNA from 1 species